rnacentral:snRNA from 1 species
GUGCUCACUUCGGCACACCUGUACUAAAACUUGCAGUAAUACAGAGAAGAUUACAUGGGCAAGGAAGGCAUACAAAUUCAUGAAACGUUCUAUAUUUUU